ACUGUAUCAUAAAUAUAUAGUGAUGUGUGAUGCAUGCUGUAGUUGUGGUUAUAUAUACUUAUUAUAUCAUAUAUAGUGAUGCAUGAGCUGAGAGGUGGGGUUGGAAAUAAAAAGGGACUUAGCUACCAGCAGAGAGAGAAGUUGAUUGGGUGUUUUUUCUAAAGCUUUUUUUGCAUGUUGCAAUCUUGAAGCUAAAGCUGUACUGUAGCAUGCUCUUGUUACAAAAUUACAUCCAGUUGAUUUUUCAGUAAAGCAUGGGAAAGAAAGUGGAGGCAUGCAGGAACAAUCCAGAAGAGUAUAUAUAUCUUGUUUCCUUGGUGCGUGUCUCUCAGAUUCGUUAGGUUUAAGUUGUGUCCAACGUUAACGCGUGAGGCGUGUGACCGGCCGGAAUUGAUUCCGGUCACUUGCUAAGUGGCAGCUAAAGAGGAUGCCCUCUGUUUAAUUCCAUCGAUACCUAUAGCAAGCAAAAGGAAUUUAGGAACUGGACGGGACAAUAAUUGCCGUAUUGCAUCUCCAACUUUUUGCCUGGGAAUUCAGCAGGAGGCUACGUGUUUCACGAACCAAAGAAAAAAGGUCCGGAAUCAGAAUCAGCCCUUUUCGUUGGAUGUGGGCCCACCUAACCUGAUUUUAGUCUAAUUUUUAUCAUAGUCUAAUUUUUCUCCACUUUUUCUAUACUUCAGGUGCAUGAAUUUUAAGGUAAUUUCUGGCAACCCUCUUGUACCACCACCUAGUACAAGUAAUUUAUUACUUCUAUGAUUUGUUAUUUGUCUUUGUGUUACAACAUAUUAAUUUUUUUUCCUUGUCUUCCUAUAAAAAUAAAUCAAAUUGUUAAUUGUCUUUGUACCAAUACAAAUUAGAUUUUGUCGAGUUUGUGGUUUUGUCUAACGUGUUUUUUAUCCUGGUACCAAAAGUUGGAGAUUGCGCCUAUAGAAAUUACAGUAAACAAAAUCUGAAAAUUUAAUAUAAAACAUAUGCAAUAAAUGUCGCUUGAAAGGAAACUAAAACUCAGACACCUGAAUUUUAGCAAAUCCUAUUUUUCUCUUCAAACUCUAUCUAAAACCAAAUAUCUUGACCUCUCAACUCUCAAAAACUAUUUAAAUUGCCUCUUUACACCGAGUAGAGGUGGUUUUCAAGACACGGGUUCAUUCUUUUUAGAUAAAGAAGCUCCAAUAAAUACCUGAUAAGUUUUUGAAAUCAUGAAAAAAGUCUUUAAGCUUCUAAAAUUUUUUGGGACAAAUCCUAGAAAUAGAUUGGAACGACAAACGCAAAUAUAAUAUCUAGGGAUCGGAAAGUAUCUCUAAAUGCUUCCAAAAAUUAUAUUUACCACUAGGAAGAAGUGAUAAAUACUAGAAAAAUCUAGAAAACUUCCCAAACAUUUAUAAUCAAUGUCUAAACACAUUCUGAAAACUUCCCAUAAAGAGUAUGAGAUGCAACCAUAUGAAUGCAAGCCUUAAAUGAGUGUCGCAUCCUUGCUACUUUCACCUUUUUUUGUUGUUGUGUAAAGGUUUUAAAAUGCAUUAUACAUUAAUUAGAUUUUUAGGGAAUUUUCUAAAACAAAUUUUAAUUUUCAAAAGCUUCUAGAAAUAUUUUCAUGAACUCUAAAUAUUUUGUUUCAGUUUUUUGUCCCAAUAUAGCUCUAGGAUUUUUCUUACAAUUUUAUAAUCUUGAAGACAUUUUUGUGGUUUUAUUAAUAACUUAUUUGGUAUUUACCAAAUUUUUAUAACUAUAAAAACAUGAUAAAACAGCCUUGUGAACCGAUAACCCAACUCAGAUAAUUUAAAUGGUUUUGAUAGUUGAGAGGUAAGACUUCUGAGUUUCCGAAAGUUUUUAAGAUUCUCGUCACAUCAAAUCUUUGAACGUAUGCAUAGAGCAUUAAAUAUAGACAAAAACAAAAACUAAUUACACAGUUUGUCUAUAAUUUGUGAGACGAAUCUUUUGAGCCUAGUUAGUCCGUGAUUGGACAAUAAUUUUCAAAUACAAAUGAAAGUGCUACAUAGCCAAAGUCAAAAAUUUUCGUGAAUUAAACAAGGCCUAAGUGGUUGUUUGGAUCUCUAAAAUAUAAAUGUGUUUUAGCUAAAUGAGAUUUAAAGAGGUUUUUAGAUAAACCAGUUUUGAGUUGGUUAGUUAGUCGUGAGUCUAAUUAAAAAUGUGUUUGGAUGGUUCCUGCUACAAACGAACGCGAGUAUUAUGUUUGGUUUGACCGUAUUUUCUGGCGUUGGGUGCUUCAGCCUCAGCUCGGCAAGAUCAUGGAUUCCUGGUUAUCAGAAAAACAGUUUUACUAAAAACGAUGCGGAGCCGUUUUUAUUAAUACACAUUUUUUGAUUUCCGUGGAAAAUGAAUUCAUCUUAUACGAGAGUUGUUAGAAGAUCCAAGCACAGAUUUACAGAUAGUAGUUACAGUAAAGCUAGCUGUAGGGAAACAAAUCAUCAAGAAACGUCAAAAUCCAAAUACCUCUGAAAUUGGCUUAAGCUUAUCUACCAAAUUUACCAAUCAUUUAGCACUAUUUUUUUAUAAUAAAUCAGCGAAUAAUCAUCAUGACUUUUUAGCCGAACAAAGAGGACCCAUGAUAACCCAUAAAGUCUAUGAGUGAGGAACUGUGAAAGGCCCAUGGGCUGGAACUUGGCCAACACGUCUGUCUGUUUCCAUCCAUCAUCAUCAACGAACGAACUCCCUAACCCACUCCAAGAAGUAUUACGCGCCGCCGACUCGCUCUCCCAUAAGCCAUAAACGCCGCGCCUCACAUGCAAACACAGCAACCACCAAAACCCUAGCAAGCUCGUGCAAUCAUCUCCCAUUGACCGUUGCAAUAAGCUUUCCCUAGCUAUUAGCCCCGAGCAACGAUGAUGAUGGCAGCGCGCGCUCUUUUGUUGUCAUCCCGUCUCGCCGGCCUUUACGAGCAGGAGGCGGUGAACUGCGGCGGCCGCCGGGCGUUCAGCGCCGCGGCGACGGCGGUGGCGCGGAAAGAGCCUGUCGAAGCGGCCGGCAAAGCGAGGCCGGCGGCAGCGGCGGAUAAGGCGGCGGCAAAGAUGGAGGAGGAGUCCUUCUGGAUGAGGGACCCCAAGACGGGCUACUGGAUGCCGGAGAAGCACCUGUACGACGUCGACGCAGCCGACCUCCGGGCGCGGCUGCUCUUCUCCAAGAAAGAUUAAUUCAUUAGUUGACGAAAGAGUCCCCGGGAUGAUCCCACAGAGUUUAGAGUUGAGACGACAGAUUUGAGAUGCAAAAACUUUUAAAAUUUUAACAUUGUAGCACUUUUAUUUGUAUUUAGUAAACAAUGUCCAAUAAUAGACUAUAUAGACAAACUGUACAAUUAAUUAUUUUUUAUCUAUAUUUAAUAUUUCAUGCAUAUGUCGCAAGAUUCAAUGUGACAGUAAACUUUUGGAAUUUUGAAAGGAUCCAAACAGGCCCCUUCCUUUCAAUGCAUCAUGCCAUGCAUGCACGAUCAGUAUACAGUAUGGUUUUGUUGGUCGAUCUUGUAGCCUGUUCGUUGUACGCGCGCGAUCGAGUUGACGUGCAAAACUGCAAAAGAGAUUCGCUACCAGUACAUGUGCAUUGCUUAUGGAUUUUGUGUAGGCUGUGUGACGAACCGAGCGUCUGCAUUGGAUCUUCAACAUUAAGUGGUUUUUGGAUGUCUAAAAUUUUAAACCUGUUUUACCUAACAACAUGGUUUUAGGAGAACAGUUUUGAUUGGUUGGUUAUUAGGUAGCGCGAGUUCUAUUAAAAAUGUGCUUGGGUGUUUUUACUUAAAUUGGUUUCCAGCCAAAAGCGGGCCAAACAUAUUUUUAGUAAAACUCAUGCUAACGAACCAAUUCAAAACUAGUUUUCCUAAAAUCUUGUUUAAAACUCAUUUAGGGUGUGUUUAAUUCCCUAUGGAAUGCAAAAUAUAAAAUACCAAGUACUUUGAAAUGAUGAAAUGCAAAAUACUAAAUUUUUCAUGGGUGUUUUUAGUUUCAUCCAAAAUACCAAAAUUUUCAGGGUCCAAAAUACAUAAAGUUGCUCCUUUGGGUUUUUUUGGCUCUUGAAGCCAAAAUCCAGAAUGCAAAAUGACAACCAUUUUGCUAAAAAAAAAAGAUGGUGUUCAGUUCUAUUCUAUAAAAUGGUGAGCCAAAAACCCAAAAAAAUUUGGUCCAAACAGGGAAUAAACAGACCCUUAGCAAAAACAGGUUUAAAUUUUAGUAAUCCAAGUUUUGAAGAUUCUAGUUACUAAAAGUGUAGUGUAGUCAAUACAACUUGUAGUUGCUUAACACAAGUUCUAAAGAUUAUGGGUGCUAAACAAUGUUUUUGAGGCGCCACGUCGGACGCUUAGGCGACGCUAUAUACAUAUUAUAAGGCGUUGUAAUAUAGGAUUUUAUAUACUACUGCAGCGCAUACAUACCUCGCUUGCCAUGUUGUUGGCUACUAUCUAUAACUCUUAUAAAGCUAAACCCCACUAGAUGAAUUCUCUCUUCAUGCAAGGUGUCCACAUCAUUCCCACUAAAUAUUCUAUCUCUUCAUGCAAGGUGUCCACAUCGUUCUCCACUAAGUCCAUGUCAUCUCAUAUUAAUUACAAAAAAUGACCAUGUCAUCUAUAUCAUGUAAAAUACUUCAAAUCUUUAAUCUAUUAACAUAUAAGUCAUGUACAUACACUAUUUGCUUCAUCACCAAUUAAUUCCUCUAUAAUGUAACCAAAUAUUAGUUUUUGUUAUAUUAGCUUAGCAAUUUUUUACUAGAUCUAAUAUAAUAAAAUACAUGCAAGUCAAAUUUAUAUGACAUACAUAAUAGACUAAAUACCAUAUAGUAAUGCUAUGUAUAUAAUGAUUUAUUUUAAAAAAAAAUCCCUCACCAACUCGCGGGGAAUUCGCGUAGUAUAAAAGAAAGCAAGGGCAUUACCAAUAAGUAUCAUACUAAUUGUUGUGAAAUAACGUCUAGUCCCAAUAGGCAUCCAUUCAUUAAUGAUCUCAUCCGUCCGUAUGGAUCCGUAUGACGUCCGUAGGAGUAGUUAGGAUUAGUGUUAGAGAUUAGCGGUUAAUCAUGUCACCAAAAGGCAUGUCCUUCGGUGAGCAGUUAUGUCUCUUGGAGACAUCCCUUUACAUCUAUAUAGAUCAAUGAAAUACAACAGUAAUUCCAAAAAAAAUCAUUGUUCAUUUACAUUCACUUUCAUCACUAAUCAAAGCAAGAGCCUUAUGAUUUUUGUUUUGUAAGUAAAGUAGUAAAUAGUAAACUAAAGAAAGUAUCCCACUAUGAAAGAGGCAGACAUUAUACUAAUCAAAGAAAGAUCCUUAUGCUCUGUGACAACCCAUAAAAUAUAAAAAGUAGAUAUCAACAGUUCAUCUUAUAAUAUUCAGAGCAGAGUAUGUACAAACACACACCAUGAGAAAAAGCAGAGCAGAGUGCAAAAUAAAUAUUCAGAGCAAUGAAGGAGGCAGGGAUAGGCAUGCAACAUGAACAUACAAUAUUCAGAGCACGAGACAUACAAUUUUCAUAUCAAAAGCAAAGCACGAGGCAUACUAUAUUCAGAGCAAAAACAGAGCACAAAGAGCAGAUAAACACUACAAGAGUACAUGCCUGCGAGUUAGCCUAUGGAAGAUCAGAGACAGAGAGGAGGCAGGGGACAUACUAGGCAGAGGCGCAGAAGCGAGACGGGCGAGCAACUGUGGACGGGCGGACGGCCAAUGGAGGCAGAGACUCGAGGCGGACAAGCAGGUGCAGACUUUGAAGACUCGAGGCGGACGAGCAGACUGGAGGCCUGCGGACUUUGAAGUCUCAAGGUGGACGAGCAGACCAGAGGCCAAGCAGAGAUGCAGGGCUAGCUCUGGCUCCGCGGCAGGGGUAACCAACCGGUGGACGAGCAGAGGAGCAGCGAAGCGGACACCUACCGACUGCCGCCUUCUCUCUUCCAGCUGGCCCUCUCUCUUCCUCUCCCCUCGCCCUCACUCGCGACCGUGGUAAAGGCCUCGCGCGGUAAAUUUCCCGCGCGAAGGGCCUAUCUACUUGUCGUGCCAUCGCAGUUCCCGUGCCCUCAAUUUUUGUCACGAACGUGCAGUAGAUUUCCCGUGCGGCCAUAGUCUUUUGGCGCCCUUCCCUGCGAACUGGCAUCCGGCGUCCAUUACGGGCUGGAGGCGUCCACCCGAUGCCAAUCUACUCCUUGUCGACGCCUAACUCGAUUAGGCGGACGCCAUACCAGUGCAGGUCAUGGUGCCCCUGACGCCCAAGCCCUCUACAACGCCUUGUCACCUAGGCGACGACUAGGGAAAGCCUCAAAAACAAUGGUGCUAAGUGUAUUUUGAAAGCAUCAGGAUUUAGGAUUUAUGUAAGACAAAUCUAAAAACCACUUAUGACAUGCUCAUCUAGCCUCACAUGUAAGACCAUGUCAUCGUACAGUCAAGAUGACACACGAAUGGUUUAGUAUAAUUUAUGAUGGUUUGUACUCCACGUAAUAUAAUUAGCAAGUUUAGAGUGCCAAAAAUAAAUUUUGAUGAAUGGUUUAGUAUAAAUUUUUAUGAUUUAGACUGCACGUAAUAUAGUUAGCAAAUUUCUGGUGCCAGAAAUACAUUUCGGAAGUAUCCAAGAUCUAUAAAAAAAUAGUAGACAAGUUCAAGGACCACAAUUAAAUUUACUCAAAAGAAUUAUACCAUAGCAAAACACAUCUCUUUUGAGGUUAUUACAGACAAAUUGUUUUCUGCAACACAGGAAUUUGUUAGCGCGCCUAGAUUCAGGUUCCUUUAGAACGCAGGGAUUUUAUAGGAAUCCUACAAGGAGCACCUAGAUUAGGUACCUUUGGAACACAAGAAUUUUAUAGAAAUUAUACAAACCGUACAGGAAUCAGGUCAUUUUAAACAAAAAGCACAAGAAAUAGGGAGGAAAUCCUGCAUUCCAAUUUCCAAAGGGGGGGCCUUCAACUGUUGCAGGAACACAUACAAGUAAUCAAAUAACAAGAUUUGGACAUGAGUUGCCGGUGUAUCAACUUUAAAACUUCUGGAUCAUAUUCAAUAAUACAGGUCAACACUACAAUCUGCACAUCCAUAGCCACUAUUCUCUACCCACACCAUCACCCCUAAGAAUUGGGGGGUAACAGGUGAAAAAUAACAUAAGCUAAUUGACAUAUUUCAUGGUGCAGAUGCUGUAUAUUCUAUGAGUCAUUGCCUACUUGUACAGGCAAUGGUGACUUCGCAUGGCUACAGUGGGGACAAAUGUAUUCCAGCCCGCCUGUCUUUGAGUAGUCCUGUUGUCACAGCAGCCACGUCAAUUUGUAACCUAAUUUUCUAGAAUUCCUCAAAGGAAAACAAAAUGGAUGCUUUGGGAUCAGCAAGAGUCUACCUUGAAAUUGCCUAGCCCUUGCCGUCUAUCACAGCCAAGGUGGGCCCAUUCUCCACAUACUCCACAGUUCACCCAAUCACCCAGAUCACUACUGUAAAAACAUAAAGUAAUAUGUUAGAAUCUACAGAAAUGAAAAAAAGAGAGACGUCAGAUAUACUAGAAUGAAAUCAGAUCCUCAAACCUGUGGCAGAUCAAGCAACAUUCCACUUCAAUAUCGUCAUGUGCAAGUUCAUAUUCCAGCAAGUAUGUCUCAUAAUGCCUUUUUAGGGUGUUCCCAACACCCUGAAUGUAAAAGAAUGCAUGAUUAGAGUUUUAGUAUAAUGUCAAAUUAACCAGACAGCCAGAUUACAUGUUCAUAAUAAUAACUGAGUAAACAAUUGGCAUUGUGUACUCCAAAUAGCCGUAGUGCAAAAAACUAUUUUAAAAUACAUUUUCUAUAUGCUAAUAAAUAACAGGGCAAAUCUGUGUGUUAACAUCAGAACUACAAAAAUAUAAUAUAAUAGCAUAGAAAAUAGCAAAUUUAAAAUCUUCCCGCUUUCUCAGUACAAUAGCAAGUAAAUUAAACAAAAACAAGCAUACCGUCAUUUUGUUUGUAACUGUAUGGUUGCGCAUCUUUGAAAAGACUUGACCUUUCCAAUUUAUGCCAUUGCCUACAUGAAAGCCACCUCGGUAUACCACCUGGAUGAUGACAAUUCAGAAAAUUUCUCAGCCAAAACAUUUCAGUGUCACCAGUUUUUCUUUAAAUGGCAAUAUUUUCUGGGUGAUAACAGUACCUCAAAGAUUUUUCACAUUGAUGCUCUUUUUUUUUCUAGAGAUGUGAUACUUUUUUUCUUUCAAUGGGAGUGGGAUUAUCCCAAAGCAAUAUUAAAAAAUUGGCAUUCAAACUGGUACAUGAGAACAGCAGUGUGCAACUACCUCUUUGUAUAAAUUAUAUAAAUCAAGACGCUUUGAAUUUAACACUGCAUCAGGAAAUUCUGCCGGUCCUCCCUGAGGUACAAGUCGGUCAUGGCCCCUUUGAAGUAGGAACUGCAUGACAUCUUUCAAGAAGUCUUCCUGCAAAAGAUAGCACAAAAUGAGGGGAUAUUUACUAGGAGGAUGUUUCAGCACAAAAGGAAACAAAAGGAUGGUCCAGAAGUGUACUUCAGAGCAAAUGUUGAUAGGCAACCGAUUGCACUCAUGCUUCUUCAUUGGCAGAGGAUUCAAUGGGAUUGAUGGCUGAACACGUGAUGAGGAUGAUGGUGACCCGGAUGAUGAUUUUCUUUGAGUCACUUUGAUAACAGGUACUGUAUUGUCCUUUACAGGAGGGGCUGGUAAGCUAGGCUUAACUGGACUAGCAUCAUGGAUGGACUGAGCAAACCCCAUAAAGGGAUGCAUUUGUUGCUUGCGAGAGUGGGGAAUGGGUCUCAUUGUUGCAGGCUUUAACCUUGGUUUCAAUGAUGAUAGGGACAUCUUAUUAUCCCCUCCAACUCCUUUGGCACCAAAUGACAUCUGUUUUGACUCGAUGCUUCCAGUAGUUCUAUCCUUAGUAAGGGAUGCUGACCAGCUUGAUAGAUGGGCAUAUGAGACAUUUUGAAUAGCUUUAUCUUUGCACUGGUUAGAGCAAAAGAAAAGCAGCCGAUCAGCAUCCUGCCUAUCAAAUGAGGACACUGGUGUACCAUUUACCCAAGCAAUUCCAAGUGCAACCAAGCUUCUGUAACAGAUUUCUGGCGCAAGCUGUUUCAAGACCUAGGCAAUUAAACAUAAUCUUCAUUAAUAGAUGAAAUAGGAUCUGUUAAAAUAUAGUUAUGGAAGGAAAUUAUAAUCGAAUCAACACCAUGGGAAGAGAAAAUAAAGAACACAAACUUGAAAACUCAAUAAAUUCCCUAAAACAGAAAUCGACUCAAAACAGCAGCGCACAUUCUACAGUUUGAAAUUUUGAACUCCAGUAUGAGAUACUUUUCUAAGCAAGCAGCAACACUAGGCCUGGAGUACUAAAUAAAGCUCAGGUAUACAAAAACUAACAGCUACUCCCUCUGGUCCAGGCAUCUUCUAACAUGGCAUGUCUCCUAAAUUACACUUUGACCAUUCGUUUAUUUUAUAUUAUACUGCUUAUUAUGAUUAUAAGCAUAUGAUUAUUGGAUGGUACGUUUGAUUACAAAUCUAAUCUAAUAGUAUCAAGUUUGUACUACAAUAGUUAAAAAGUUGUUAGCCAAAUUAUUGGUCAAAGAUUAGAAAGUUAGACUCUUGACCUACGCAAAAUGCCUUAUAAACUGGACUGGGGGAAUAUAAAAUAAAAUAGGGUGCCAAGAUCAUUGAUGUCUUAUCAUUUCGUUAGAGCAUGAACAAUGGGGGUACUAGAGGAGACGCUUGCAAGAGUGGGGGUUUACCCUAUGUCAUUUCACCCAGGUGCUUAUAAACGGACAAAUGUUUAAGUUUGCUCAUGGUGCUUAAGUGUACUACUUCUGCCCUGAAAUACAAGGGCAAGAUUUGUCCCAGGUCAAACUAUUUUAGGCUUGACAAAGUGUAUAGAAAACAGUAUUAACAUCUACCACAUCAAAGAGGUAAGUUAUGAAAAUAUAUUUCAUAAUGUGAUGACCAUUGAUAUCGUAAAUAUUGUUAUUUUUUUCUAUGAAGAUGGUCAAAACUAGGAUAGCUCGAUUUAGGAUCCAGCUCCCCAAAAAAUAACAUUCGACUUGCAUGACAUCUAAAACUUUUAUUCUUCAAGGCAAUAGCAAUUUAGGGUAACAUAUUAAGAGGUGCAAUGCUAGGUUUUCAAAAACCUUCAAUGGGAAUGAGUGGACUUAGCACUCUUUGGCAGGAGGGAUGGGAUGUAGCAAACUCAAAAUCUCUUGUAGUUCAACACGAAGGGAAUACUAACAAGGUACUUAAGUUUAUUUAAACACCCAUUUGCAUUGGAGGAAUUAACAUUAACUUUUAUUCGGUGCUCAUUGAUGUAGUGAUAUUCUAUCCCGUUAAGCACUCAUGUUUAAUCAUCUUGCAUGGUACAUGCCCUAGAUGCUUUCACAACAUAAUUUUAAACAUAGAGAGUGAAAUGUAUAACUAAAAGGGCAAAACAAAAAAGAAAGUUAAAUACAAAGGUAUGCAUUAAAUGAUAGCUGAAGUAAAACCAGAAAACUUCAUUAAAACUUUGAAGAAGAAAAAAAACCUGUGCUGCCCAUUUAGGCAGGGUUAUCCAGACUUCAAAAGUAGAAGCUCCACAAGCCACACACAUGGAAGGCAAAGGUUCAUAUGAUGGCUUGUUAUCCUCAGUAUUCGAUAGAGCACGAACUAACUGCCUCUUCUCAAUAAUUUCAUUCUUGAUACGGCUCUCUAGAAGCUGCAUAUGUUGUGAAGCAACAUGAGUUUUUUUUUACAUCAAAAUAUGGGCUAGGAGAUGCUCCAUCGUUGUAGAAAUUGAUACCUUAUCAUCAAAACAAGUUUGGGCACUGGCAGAAACAAGAAAUGACACGUGUGCAGAACUGCAAGUUGAGAUAUCGCAGCGCAUUGUAACAACUCCAUGUGGAAGAUUUUCAGCUUGAAGAGGUGGAGGAGCACUAGAAAGAGAAACAAUGUGGAGCUUCAACUCUGAACAAAAUGAACAUUUCUAACAAAAAGAGUAUUUUAUAGUUUGGUAGUAUAUACCAAAUAAUCAAAAAAAAUUAAAAAAAAAAACUCUACCAGUAUCAUUUUAAAAGAAUUUAACUUCAUUUUCCAUUUGGUUCACAAAUCAUAGGCAAUACAAAUCAAGAUACAUUGGUUCCUUUUAUAUGCCUUCAGGUUUGUGCUUAAAAACAUGAUGAGAGCCAAGAAUACAAUGCAAACAAACAUUCGGGGAUAACAAAAUAUUAAUAUAAAUACUAAAGCAAAAGGCCAAGACUACAUUAUAAACAUGAUCCAUUCUCAAGUUAUAAAAUGUUUGAUGCAUGCAUCAUAAUUUAUGAGAUAUGUGGCUUAAUAUGUAAUGAGAUACCUGGAUCGGCUCUGAAGUUUACUCGCACGAAUCUGAGGAAAGUAAAAAAAAAUCAAUCAUCAAGCAGGUCCUAGCAAAUAUGAUGAAACACAAAAUAGAAUACUAGAACUUUAUAAAAAUUAAAGGAUAUUUAUUGAACAAAUCUGACACUGAAGACACCACUAUCUAAUACAUCAAAACAAUGCUUUUGUUGCUUAUAGCAAACCAAAAGCAAGAGUCAGACUCAAACACUAGUACUAACUUAUGCAUCCGUUUGCUAUACAUCAUAUUUUACUGGGAUUCACAAUAAAAGUGCAAGCCAAUAGUUGUAACUCGUAAGCAGCUAGUGGGCAGUCACCCCCCACUUGUCAUGUGACUAUGAGAGCAAUCCAUUCCACCAGGGCACCGUGGCUGCAUAGGAUCAACCGGCACAUUUCCUUUCUUGUUUUAGUUACUAUUUUUAAGUUUCUUACUUUGGGAGACGAGGUACCUCUAAUCUAUAUGAAACAAAAGCAGGUAAUGUGCCCUGAAAUGACUUUUAGUAAUAAUUUCAAUAUAUGAAUAUUCUGAUUUACAAUGAUGUGAUAACUAUAUGCUGCAUACAAAUCAGCAUGCCUAGUUCUAACAUAGCUACCAUUCGUUCCCAUAGCUCCUACGGUAAUACUAAAAGUUUGCGAUAUCAUGUAAAGAUUAACCAUCUAUCCAUAAUCUCAAUACUUCUAGAAUGUGCUCCUGAUUACUACAACGAUGACCACAAACCUCAAUAUUCAACAGCGCAGUCAAACCAUCUUCUAGUGCGCCCAACAAACAUGCAUCCUGAAAUUGAUACAGUUUGCAAUCAUUGAUUGGAAACAAGGUAAACAUCUAGUGAUGAGAGAAAAACGAGGUAUAACCCUAAGCUUACCAGGGUGCAUGGUGCUCCACAGACAAGAAAUUUCAUGUUCACAUCUUCAUCAUAGAUUCUUAUAGGUGGAAAACCUUCAGAGCAGCCUUCUUCCUUGUUCACUUCAUUCCCAGCAGGGAUGACAUUUAUUUUUGGGGCAUCCCCUAGUAGGCAGGGGCCAAGCUUAACACUUUGCACAUAAUUAUUUCUUACACAGUAUAGUCGAAAGGAGGCAUGUGCAAGUUGAAAUGCAUCCCAUGUAUGGCUGCAGGAACUAUAACCAGGAAUGAAACUGUUAGGUGUGAAACAAAAUAAAAUGGCACUGAUCAAUAAUACUUUAUGAUGCAAUACCUCUCAAUGACUGACAUUAACGCAUGACGAAAAUGAGAUGCUGUAUAAGACGAAAAUGAAUUCCUCCAAUAUACCACAUAUGGUAUCCCCUGAGUGAAAGAAUGCCGACAUCACAUAUUCCACAAUUAGCACCAAAAAGUCCAAAAAAAUAAUAGCCACUUUGUUUUAGGGAAAAAUAGCUUAUUAACACUAUAAAUUAUCUGAAGCAUAAAUGGUGAUAUCUAAAUACUACCAAAAAAUUAUAAACAUUCAAACAAUCAGUACCACCUAUAUUUAUUGAAAUGAGAUACUCUCUCCGUGCCAAAUUGUAGCACCUUUUGGCUUUUCUAGAUACAUUACUUUUACUAUGUAUCUAGACAUAGUGUAUAUCUAAGUGCUAACAAAAACUAUGUAUCUAAAAAGCCAAACUGUCUUACAAUUUGAAAUGGAGGGAGUAACAUACUAUAAACAUAAGGGACAUGACUUCUGCAAAAUCUAGAAACAAAAUAAGCGAAAAGGAGGGAAGAGUGUGCACUAACUCCAGAGUAACUCUUGCAAAUGUACAACAACCAAUUCCUUAAAAAGAGAUAGACACAAUUAUUGAAAAAAGUACCUUUGAAUGAAGUGACUGCGCAAGCUUUUCGCCAAUGGGAACCUCCAAAUAAACCUGCAUUAACAUUUAACAUGUUAAUAACUAUAUUGCAAAAAAAGGAACAAAACCACACUAUAGUAUUAAAUUAUAAAUUAGAUUAAAUGCUCCCGCCAACCAGCUUUGUUAGUUGUAUAAGCAAAGAAAUCCAAUAUUCAUCAGCAUAUAUGGACAUGGGCACCGCUUUGGUGCUUUUUCUCUGUUUGAACAUGGGCAUCAGUUUCGUACUGCAUGCAGGAAUUGCUCCCAAAGUUAAUACACUGUCAUUGUUCUCUUGUUUAUUUAAAGCAUGUGUGCAACAUGUGCUAACGGCAGGCAGACACUAACAGAAACACAGCAUCCUCGCCAUUCUCUCACUUAUUUAGAUAAGACGCUUUUACUCCGCCAGAUUAAUGCAUUGCGGGGAGGACACUUCUCUAUUUGGUCUCUGUGUGCAGAGAGUUUAUACGUCGAUCAUAUUUAGAUGGAGGGAGCAACAGACAUAUACAUGAUCUCGAUUAUAUUUUGGAUGGAGCUUGCAAUAGCAAGACACAUACAGGAUUAUAGAAGAUACUUAACAAUAAGAUAGAUGCUACACGAAGCAUCCAAUCAACAUGCAACAAGAUCACAUACCCAUUAAUUUAGCCACAUCAAUUAAGUCAAUAAUGCAAAGUAAAACUCAGCAGUUUAGGUCACAAUACCAAACAAGAGCAUUAUCAGAAGUUCAGAACAGACCAGUAAAUGUAACUUUUAAAAAACCACAGUUAUAGCCAGAGCUAAGGUAAUAAUUCCCUGGAAGUCACAAGAUCAUGUUCCUCCCUCUCUCUUCAGAUGAACUCCUAGUUCUUGACUGGUGCAACACAGUUAUAGUGUAGUACUGAUUGUCAUGCUGGGCUCCCUUUUUCAAGGCUCAAAUAUGAAAUUGUAAAUUGAUGUGCACUUUUGCACCUCAUGUCCACCAGUCAAGUAAGAACAGAUGAUAACACUAAAUUAUAGCAACAAAUACAUGCUAUUUAUCUAUUCAAGAAAAGCUUGGAGCUUACCAUGGUCGGAAAUGGUGGGGUGAUGAGUGAAACAAACAUCUGCGGGUCAGAUAAAUCGGUAUCGCCCCAGACAAGUGUCCCAAUCUCCUUCUCAUUCUCUUGCUGCUGCCCUUGAAGAUACAAGAAGACAGGAUGCACCGCCUGCUGUGCCUCUCUAAAUUGCUCCAAAGUGGGAUUGAUUAGUGUGUGCACCUGCAUCCCCAAAGUCCAGUUUUAGUUUGAACUUAUAACUCAAAUCAAAAAAAAAACAUCUGCCUCUACCACACCACACAGCAAUAAGAACUGACCUCCAAUCUCCCAGACGAAGCGAGCUCCGGGAAGGGGUAUGACAUCCGCACUCGCUUUGUGUCUGGUGCCAGGGGAGCUGGCGUCUGCCGCUUCUCGGCAAUCUCCCCACAAAGAACAGCUAGGAGUGUGCAGUUUCGCCCGGUGUUCUGGACUUGAGGCAUGGCUGCAGAGACAAACUAACUGCCGGGCCUCAACUCAAGUCAACACUGAACCUGCAACAGGAAAAUUGGAAAACGGGUAAACAAACACCGCAAAAUCAAAGGAAAACCCACCACCAAAACGAAUCAAUCCACACACCAGAUGAGCAAAUCGAAGCCCAGGGCGGCGUAAGGACGCCGCCGAUGGCGUAACCGGAAGCAGGUAGCUUCGAUUUAUGGGGUAGGAAGAGCAAAGCGUGGGGAGGACGGAACCCUAAUCUAGCCGCGGCAACAAUAACACGAUUUCCCAACCAGAAUAGAAGGCAAGUGCGGUGGCGGAUCUGUGAAUCGAGCACGACACGAGCCUCCCGUCCCAAUCCAAUCCAAUCAAAUAAACAUUUCACCGAUUGUCGAAAAAAAUUAUAACAAAUCAGUAAAACGGCACCAGAUCCUCCCAGUUCCCAGUUUCGAUCCUCGCAUCUCGCAGGGGUUUAACACCAAGCAGGUAGGGAUCCAAAGGAAGACGAAUCCAAUCCGAUCAAAUAAACAUUUCAAGGAUUGUCGAAAAAAAUUAUAAAUCAGUAAAACGGCACCAGAUCCUCCCAGUUCCCAGUUUCGAUCCUCGCAUCUCGCAGGGGUUUAACACCGAGCAGGUAGGGAUCCAAAGGAAGACGAACCUGGGGAGAACGUGUGCUGACUGAUGAGGGGGGCAGAGCAGAGGGCGAGAUGAAACGCUCGGAUUUGGGAUAUCGCCUCGCCUUGUAGGCCUUGUAUAGGUGGUGCGCGUAGGUGCGGAAUCUUCUGGCCGAUCCGCUUACUCCCCCGUUCCUGUGUGCGGGCUCGGCAACGAGGAUUUCAUGACGAUUCAUUAUUCCUGUGGAUUGAAGAGGGAUAGAAAAAAACAAGGGGCGCGGAUUAAUUACCUUCUGGAUUUGGAAUCGGGAAUGCGAGGAAGAGAAUGAAAAGGAUUUUGUUUCGAUCUACGAAGAGAUGGAUGAUACCUGCUGCGGCUGAGGCUGCGGAUGCCGCUGCACGAGGCCACGAUCCGACGCCGCUCUGGUGUCGUUGGCGCGGUGGAUUUUCCACGCGCUUCGCCCAAUCGAAAGUCGAAACUGCCUGUUUGCUUGCUCGUUGCUUUGGCACCGCAUUCGCGGCCUGGGAUGGGACUCAUGCGAGCGAGCGAGCGUCAGAGCGUGCCGUGGCAGCGUCGCGCUGUGGUUUCUGGGUGCUGUUCGCGAGAUAUGUGCGCCCAGCAGCUCCUCGCUCUGGCGUGUUCUUCAUCCUCUCGGGCUUUUUUUUUUCCCUUUUUUUAUGAGAGAAGUGACAUCAUAAAUAAUCCAAUUUCUCGAUUACAGAAAUAUAGGACAAAAUAUACCCACUGUUCGUUUUAGUCCAAAACAAGGAAUUGAGAAGGGUUUCCUAGUGAAAGUCCUCCUCAAUCAACUCCGACACUUCUCCUAUCUUAUGGUUCGGGACUUGUUUAGUUUAAAAGUUUUCGAGACUGUAGUACUUUUAUUUUUAUUUAAAAAAUAUUGUUCAAUUAUAGAGUAGUUAGGCUUAAAAGAUUCAUCUCGUGAUUUAUAGGUAAACUGUGCAAUUAGUUUUUAUUUUCAUCUAUAUUUAGUGCUCCAUGCAUGUGUCGCAAGAUCCAAUGUGACGGGGAAUCUUGAAAAGUUUUUGGUUUUUAGGAUGUAUGGUAGCAUAAUUUUUAUUCGGAGUCUUUAAGCAUUCAAACUUAUAAAUUGGUGUUGCAAACUGAUGAACAUGCCUCGCUAUCCUAUGAGUUAUUCUAUUGACCUAUCAUGGAAUCUUACAAAACUCAAAAUCUUAUUUCUCAAGAGUAUCCCUAAGUAAUUGACAAUCCGAAAACAUGAAAUCACACCAAACAAGUUUCAUACAUUUUUGUGUAGUAAUAUAUGGUCAUGGGUCAUUAGUUAUAAUGUUAUGUCAUCAUUUCAUGUUGUUGUGGCGAAGUAAUAAGGAAGGAAUGUAAGAGAUUGGUUUUAUAUAAGUGAAGCUAGGUAUAUGAUGUCUCUAGGAUUAUGAAACAUAUUGAAACAGACAUUGGUUUCAUUCCAUCCUACUUUUCGCCAAAUUCUAUGUGUCAAACUUAAAUGUUGUACUAAAAACAACCAGAUAAAACAAUGCAUGGGAAGGAGUUGUUUUAUUCAUCAACUCGAAAGCACUCUAGAUGGCAAGGCAUUCUUAGAAACAAUAAAAUAAAACAUUCGGUUUGUUUCUCAAGAAACAUAUGGGCAAUAAAUUACUCUGGAAUUAACAAGAGUAUUACCCCACCUAACUCUGAUGAUAAUCAAUUAAAUACUCUUUUGCACAUGUAGAGUAUUGUCUAGAAACACUAAUAUGAAACUCUCUCCUAUGAUUGGCCUUAGAGCAACUUCAACCGUUUGGCAAAAUUCGUUUCCCAAAUUUUAUUGUUUGUCAACUUCAAAAAUAAUAUGGGGAGGAAAAAAUAUCUCAUAUCCAACGGUUUGGCAAAUUUUAUUUCCAAAAACUCAAAAAUCUGCUAACAAAAUGAAAAGCCUUGCUAAGCGAACGAAGAGCUCCGCUAAGCAUGAGGAGAAAGACUGAUGCCAAGCAUAGAGCCCGCGCGCAUAUUUGUGCGCUAGAUAGAGAGAUAUGACAAGUUAGAAAAGAUGGAGAAUUGAGAUGUUAAACUGUUGGAGAGAGUCUUUCCUCAUUUUGUUAAAAAAAUUAUGGAUAGGAAGUCAUUUGUCAAACUGUUGGAGAUGCUCUUAGUGUUUGAUUUAACGUUUCUUAGGAGUCCUUAUUCUUCUUUUUCUUGCCAACUAGACAUCUUUACUAUAUGCACUAUGUCUACAAUUUGAAGACACUAGAUGAUUCCCCAUGUGUUAUUGUGAAAAUUAGAGACAUAGAUUUUUUUUAUAAGAAUGAGAUGAAUAAAGCAAUCAUUAAAGUGGUUGGGUAUCUAAUUAGGAGACUAGAAUAUCCAAAAAAAUAUUAGAGGUUGAGUUACAAGUUGCUUGAAUCGAGAGAAAAUUAAGGUGUAUAUUUUGAUAAUACGACAUGAGAUAUACCAAAUGCAAGUACUUAUUAGUCUAGCAUGGGCUCGUUUGGCUCCCGCCACAUGCCAUCUUUAUGCAUGUCUGGUUGUGCCAUAGAUGUAGCGAACAAAAUGGGCGCCAGACAUUUGGUGAGAGUUGAGGUGAGUUUACAUGGUAGCAACCAAACGCACAUUCAACAUGCCACAAUUUAAUUGUGGUGUGGUAUGAGCCAAACACACAAACAAAUAUGGUUAUAUAGUAGUAAUUUUAUUAUAUGAGUUAUUUAUUAUUAAAGCUUUAUUUGCAAAUAAACAAGUUGAUUUUAAUUAAUUUGGUGAAGAGGUGAAGAGGGUAGUGUCAACCUUCCACAUCUUGAAACCCUUUGAGAGGAGAAAAUAUCUCAACCUCUCAUAUCAUGCUUAGCACUUACCGCAGUGUUUUGCAAAACCAUUUUCACUUGCUACUCACUAUGUCACUAAGCAUAAUGCGUAUGCAAAUGAAACUCACACUUAGUGGAACCAAAUAAAUGUUGCAACUAAAGAUUUUCUCUUUUUAUAUAGUACGACUAUCUAUCUUAAAUCCAACUUGUUUGGCCAAAUAUAUCAACUCUCAUCUUUCAUUAGACUUUAUAGGCCUUUCAACCAAACAUAUCAACUCCCAACUUUUCUGGCCUUACGAAUUUUAUCAAAUUUCUAGCCAACUUCAAGGCAACACUUUUUGCCAAGCAAGUUAUGAGGGCUCCAACCAUGGCUUAAUUCGACAGUUGACAUCGGUUCUUGAUAACGAACCUGAGCUCCAUGAUGGUGAGACACUCACCCUCCAUGACCACUGUGGCGCUCUUGUUGACACAUGGGUUUCUUGCAGGGGCAUCAGGUCUCUAACGCAUAGGAAAAAGGCACCAUGCAAGCUAAAAUUAUGGACCACAAGCGACUCAUUGGUCACCUUUUAGAACAUGUUCAGCAAUACUUGAGCUUUAAAACCAAAAUUGAGGGUCAUAGCUCCAAUAGACCCUACUAGAGAUCUAAAAAAUAAGAGGCUCAAAUCUCUCCUCAACCCUCAUCCAUGGAGGCUCUAGAGGAGCACAUACUCACUCGAACCUUUCUAUGUUGGUCACUCAUGCCCCUUCGGAUCUACCCUCGUGUCACUUCUUGACAUCACUCCUUGGUCUGACGAUCCUUCUCAGCGGCACCCCUGCACGGCCUCCUCCCUAGCGCCCUCCCUGGCUCGGCAACUCCUCCCUGGCUCAACCUCACACGAUGGCACAAUCGCACCCACCCAUCGCCACCACCAGAUCCGACCUCCUUCGUCCUAGGCACGCCCCGCCCAUGGUACUAAAUAGUGGUUGUAACAACCAUAAUAGUCAUAGCGGCCUCAAAGCACUACCGCUAUGAUGUAGUAGUCUAGGUUUUGCAAGUUGGAACUUAGCGACUGCUAUUUGAGUUAGCGAUCUGCUAUAGCAGUUCACAAUUCUUUGUAGUGGUCGCAAUGGCAUGGAGUGGUACACAAAAAAUAAAUAAUUCUAGUGCACUUAAGAUACACAUAUGGUUUAAGUGACCAUAUAAGUAUGUGAGACAUCAAUUCUUUAGGUACAAUUAAUUGACUAUUUAUAACCAUUAUUCACGAUAUAUAUGCUUAAAUUUACAUUUGCCGCUAUUGGAACUUAGUGUCUGCAAUAGCGCCCGCUAUCCGCUAUCUUGAUAUCAAUCUGCUACCAACCCGCUAUGCUAUUUGUCUCACUAAAGAUCAGAUGUAAGAAAGAACAAAGCAUGUUGAUGUGAGAUGUCAUUUUAUUUGAGGUGUCAUUGUUGAAGGUGAUGUUAAGGUAUGCAAGGUAAAUGCCCACGAUAAUCCCGUUGAUAUGUUGACAAAGCCUGUUCUUGAAGCUAAUAAGUUUGAGCUAUGCUCAGGCUUAGUUGGUAUUAUAUUAUAACUUAAGUCCUAGUGACUUUUAGUGUAGAUGAUUUUUUUUAUUAUUGAAGUAAGUUAAUUGAUGAUACUUUAUUUUGCUACAAGAUAUAAAUUUUCUCAAGGUGAAUUUUAUUGGAGCAUGAUCCAAAUUCUAAUGCGAGUUUUGCAUGGACGUAUGAAGGGCCCAUAGCUUGGGGUAUGUUAAUUAGAAUAUUUGUUUUUGUAUUGAACUUUUGUUCGUCUGUCCUAUAUCUAUAUCUUUGUAAGCUACGUGGGAAGAGUUGACUCAUUUGUAUCCCCUAUGUACUGUACUCUCAUCGUAUAGUGGAGAUUACUGUUUUAGCGCAUGUGGUUUUUUUACAAGGAUUUUUCAUGUAAAUUUUUGUGUCCUGUGCUCGAUCUUUAUUUACAUUAUUUGCUAACAACAUGCUUACUUAGUCCUUUGCAUCUACAACAGAGAAGAUGAUUGGUAAAAAAUAUACUUUGUAGUUCUAACACUUUGAGUCUGUCCUACUAAAUUAUUUGAUGUAUUUGAAAUGAGAUCGAUGUUAGUGUAUCUAACUCUAUUUCUAUGUAUCGUUGUUUUUUAUGAAUCUUAAACAUAUUAGUAUUCUUUUCGUAUAGUAUUUAGAAGUCGUUUUUAUAAGGUUUUGGUCAAACAUUGAGAAUAUAAAUUAUCAAUAACUUUUAAAUUGUUGAGUUUGCAAAUGUGAAAAUUAUAUGAAUAGAUUUGUUUUAAAUAGUUUCAUUAAAGUAUAUAUAUCAUUUUUUAUAAAUACUUAUAAAAAUAAGAGGUUAAAGUUGUGUUUUGAAGAUCAUAUCACUAUCCUAUUCUAAACGACUUCUAAAUCCUAUACGGAGGGAGUAUCUAUUCUUUUCUAUAUAUAUAUAUAUAUAUAUAUAUAUAUAUAUAUAUAUUAUCUUUUUGACGUUUAUUGAUUUGUACUACCGAAAUGUCACCAUGGCGUUAACAUGUAUAACAUACUCCCAUUAUACUAUAAGUCAUUCUAAGAAUCUUUGAGGGUCAAAGCAUCUCAAGUUUGAUCAAAUUUAUGUAAUAAUAUAAUAACAUUUAUGAUUCUAACUAAGUAUUCUUAGUUUCUUUAUUAAGUAUAUUUUCAUAGUAUAUCUACUUGAUGUCAUAAAUCUUUUUAUUUUUUUCCAUAAUUUUAGUCAAACUUGAAAUGCUUGUACUCUCAAAGAUUCUUGAAAUGACUUAUAGUUUAGCAUGCAGGGAGUACCAAUAAAAUCUAUAUCUCUUAUAUAGAUAAACCUCACUAGCUAAUUCUUUUGACAUGCAAAGCAUCCACAUCAUCAUCCACUAGAGCAUCCCACUAACUAAUUCUCUUGCCAUGCAAAGCGUCCACAUCAACAUCCACUAAAUCAUCCCACUAAUACAUUACCCCGCCAUGCAAAGUGUUCACAUCAUUAUCCACUAAUAAAUCGAACUAACACAUAUCAUUUUAUCAUGUAUCUAUGUUAUUCACGUUAGCAAACUACAUUAUUUUGUAACAUAUAUUUAGUUUUCUAUGCUAGAAUACUAAAAAUCAUCCACUAACAUAUAUUAUGAUAGUAUAUAACUUUACCAGUAAUUCCUGCAGCAACGCGCGGGGCAUUCUCCUAGUUACAAUAAUGAGAGUUUUGUGUGAAAGGCUGCCCUGUAAAUUUAGAGAUUCAUUUCCAAUUUUUGUUGGAGCUAGAUUUUAAUCUAUAUAACUGUUUAUCUGGGUUUACGGAAGGUUUUAGAUAAGAAAAAAGUCUACAUAACCUCCUAAACUAUUUUUUGUGGUGGAAUACUUCAUCCCUAAACUAUAAAACCAGAUAUCCUACCUCCUAAACUUUCAAAACCGGUAAAAUAACACCCUAGAGUGGUUUUAGAGGGUGGUUUUGUCUUUUUAUUUUUUAUUUAUUUCAGCUUAAUAAUGUAAAAAUCAUAAUAAAUCAUAGAAAAAUUAUAAAAUGAAAAUUCAAAUUUGUUGGACUCCUGAUGAGUAGAUCUACACAAUGAAUAUAUAAUAUGGUAUACUUUAUUACAAAGUUUUUGUUGUAACUUUAAAUCUAUGUUUUUCUAUAAUUAAUAAGAAUAAUUUAUAUAUGUAGUUCCUAUGGUUCAAUUGUGAUAAAAUUCUUAUGCUGGGCUCAUUAUUGUAUUCUUGAACUAUGGUAAAAGUUCCGUACCUAUUGCAUCACAUAUAACUUAGUUAUAGAUUUAUUUAGCUUUAUUCUUAUUAAAUCUAUGAUUUAUCUAUAACUAAGUUAUACAUGAUUCAAUGAGUAUGGAAUUUUUACCAUAGUGCAAUCAUACAAUAAUAAGCCCACCAUAAAAAUUUUACCACAAUUAGACCAUAGGAACUACAUAUAUGAAUUAUUUGAAUUAAUUAUAGAAAACAUAUAUUUAAAGAUACAGCAAAAACUUUGUACCAAAGUAUACCAUAUUAUAUAUUCACUGUGUAGACCUACUCAUCAGAAGUCCAAUAAAAUUGAGUUUUUAUUUUAUAAUUUUUCUAUAAUUUAUUAUAAUUUUUUAAAUAUUCAGCGAAAAUAAAUAAAUAAAAAAGAUAAAACCACCCUUAAAAUCACUCGAGAGGGUUAUUUGACCGGUUUUGAAAGUUUAGGGGAUAAAAUAUAAUAUCCGAUUUUAUAGUUUGGGGAUGAAGUAUUUCAUCCUAUAUAAUUUGGGGUUAUGUAUCUUUUUUUCCUCGUAGAUAUGUUUACUUCCAGUUAAAACCCAAAAUUUUUCAAGAUUUCCCAUCACAUCCGGUCUUUAGAGGCAUGCAUGAAGUAUUAAAUAUAGACAAAAAUAAAAACUAAUUCAUAGUUUGAUCGGAAUUUAUGAUACAAAUCUUUUGAACCUAGUUAGUCCAUAGUUGGACAAUAAUUACCAUAAACAAACGAAAAUGCUACGAUGUUGUGAAUUUUUUUUUUGUUUGUGAACUAAACACGGAGAAAUCCGGAAUGCGAGCCUCAAAACCAGCAUCAGCUUUCCAAAUUCCCACUCCGGAUACCAAACGACGUUUUGGUUUGCAAAUUAUAUAGGCUCCAGUACCGCAGUAUGUGCACCUAUAAAUCGGCCAGUGCUCAGUCUAGCGAACGGCCGGAUCGGAACCCCUUCGCUUUCUCCCCUGCUUCUCUCAAACGAAAUGGCAGCCGGAUCUUCCAGUUCCAGCACCGCCCUCGUCGGCAUCGUUGACGACUUCUACUUCUCCGUCCUCGCUCACGGGCGAAACGACGCUGGCGCCGCCGGGGACGACGAGCUCUUCCCGAUAUCCGACGAGAAGUACGCCACGGAGCUCCAGCUACAGGAGGUGAUGAUGUCCUCCGCCAUCGCGGCCACGGCGCGCUCCCGGGUCGCUCCACCUCGCAGCAGCACAGCUGCCACUAGCGACAACGCCGCCGCCGCCGCCGCGUCGGGUCACGGCAAAGGUAAGUGCGCCUACACCUCGUCGUCGUCGUCGUCGUCCCGGCCGUCCAUCGCCGUCGCCGCGACGCUCGUGUUCUGCAAGAUCUGCAUGGACGUGGUGCCGCCCUCCGACGCGCACCGCGCCAGCCGGGGCUGCGCACACGCCUUCUGCGGCGGCUGCCUCGCGGGCUACGUGGGCGCCAAGAUCCAGGACAGGAUCGCCGACGUCAGGUGCCCCGAGGAGCGGUGCGGCGGCGUGCUGGACCCGGAGCUCUGCCAGGGCAUCCUGCCCCGCGAGGUCUUCGAGCGGUGGGGCGCCGCGCUGUGCGAGUCCAUGCUGCUGGGGGCCAAGAGGACCUACUGCCCCUUCAAGGAUUGCUCGGCGAUGAUGCUGGCGGACGACGACGGCAGCGACGACGUCGCCGAGGCGGAGUGCCCGAGCUGCAGGCGGCUCUUCUGUGCGAGGUGCAACGUGGCGCCGUGGCACGCCGGCGCUACCUGCACCGAGUACAGGAAGCUCCGGAAGGGGGACAGGGGCAUCGAGGACACCAUGCUGCUUGAGAUGGCCAAGGGGGAGAAGUGGAAGCGGUGCCCCAAGUGCGAGUUCUUCGUGGAGAAGCGUGAUGGUUGCCUUCACAUUACUUGCAGGUACUCCGUACGUUCCAUCUCAUCAUUCAUCAAUAUGGGAGCAGUACCACUGUUUCUUCACGGAUUCACAUGUGCACUGCAGUCAAACUGACUCUGAAGUGCACGUAGUAUUGCUUUUUCCCUUUUUUUUAUUCAGGACUUGUUAAAUAAGGUCACGUUAAAUUCAUCCAAAAACAAAAAACUUUUCAAUAUUUUUUUCGUCACAUUAAAUCUUCUGCCACAUACAUAAAACAUUAAAUAUAGAUAAAAAUAAAAACUAAUUAUACAAUUUGUUUGUAAACCGUAAGACGAAUUUUUUAAACAUAAUUACUUUAUAAUUGGAUAAUGUUUGUCAAAUAAAAACGAAAGUACUAUCAAAAUUAAAAAAGAAAAUUAGACCUAAACAAGGCCUAAAACGAAGAACGGUUUGUUAAAGUAUGGUAGAUUUUUAUUUAAUUUAAUAAUUAGUGUCUAAUUAUAAACUAAUUAAGUUUAAAAAAUUAAAAUUCAUCUCACAAAUUACUCUCUAGCUAUGUUUUUAAUUUUAUAAAUGUCUAUAUUUAGUAUUAUAUAUAUAUUCCUUCCGUCUUAAAAUGACCAAUGUUUUUUACUUUGACCAAUAAUGUUUGUUCGUUUUGUUCAAUUUUUUAUGUAAAUUUUAAAAUAAAUAAAUCAUUAUUAAAGUAAUUCUAAUAAUUAAAUAAGUCAUAUCAAAAUAAAUAAUAUUUAUAUAAAAGGUUAUAAUAAAAUUGGAUAGUCAAAUAAAACGUCAACAACGUUAUUUUAGGCUUUGUUUAGAUGCGAAAAGUUUUUAGAUUUCGUUAAUGUAGCACUUUCGUUUGUUUAUGAUAAAUAUUGUCUAAUCAUAAACUAAUUAGGAUAAAAGAGUUUAUCUCGUGAUUUACAGGUAAACUGUGAUUUACAGGUAAACUGUGUACUGUAAGAUUUAAUGUGACGAGAAACCUUGAAAACUUUUUAGUUUUUAGAUGAACUAAACAAGCCUUAGACGAAGAGAAGUACUAUGUCCAAACACGAUGCGACGGAUAGUAAUCUUUACCGUCAGUAACAAUACUGUAGAACCUAGUCAUCAAUAUGGGAGCAGUAGCACUGUUUUUUUCACGGAUUCAAAUGUGCACUCCAGUCGAACGGAUUCGUUUUUUUUUACGAAGUGCACUACAACUGCAGUGCAAGAACUAUUAAGGCCUUGUUUAGUUCCCAGAAAAUUCAAAAUUUUUUCAGAUUCUCCGUCACAUUGAAUCUUUAGACGCUUGUAUGGAGUAUUAAAUAUAGCCGAAAAUAAAAACUAAUUACACAGUUUGGUCGAAAUUGACGAGACGAAUCUUUUGACCGUAGUUAGUCUAUGAUUGGACAAUAUUUGUCAAAUACAAACGAAAACGUCAUUAUUCAUAUUUUGCAAAAAAAAUUGGAAGUAAACAAGGCCUAAAGGCCUUUUUAAAGAAGAAGGCCUUGCUUUGUUCCAUUUUUUUUUUUGCAAAAUGAAUCUAUAAUACUUUCGUGUAUUUAACAAAUAUUGUAUAAUUAUAGUCGAAUUAGACUCAAAAAAUUCGUCUCUCAAAUUACAGGCAAACUGUACAAUUAAUUAUUAUUUUUAUCUAUAUUUAAUGCUCCAUGCAUUCAUCACAAGAUUUAAUAUGACAAAAAAUCUGAUUUUUUUUGCAAAACUUUCUGGGAACAAAACAAUGCCCAAGAUGAAGAAGAUGAGAAUUAAGGUCUUAUUGUGCAUGAUUUUAUGGUAGCUUCUCCAGCAGUUAAAUCAAAAAUUCAACUUGAAAACGACUUUAGAAACCAAAAUCAAGACAAAAAUGCAUAGGCCGAAGUCAAUUUUGGCAAGAAGCUGAAACCAUAAAAAUGUAGUUUCUCCGUACUUUAUGAUUUUUGGACAAGCCCAAAUUAAUCCUACUAGAGAGACUCUGGGUGGUCUCGUUAAUAAAAAACAAUAUACACUUAAAUUCAAAUACUUUAAAACUCAACUUCCGUCAGUCGUCGGAUUGAGCUAUAUAUAUGAUCGUUUCUUGUCGAGAUUUUUUUGGAGCAUUGUAAUUUCCUCGUAUCAUUUCCUUCGCUUGAAAAUAUUUUUUUGUACAAAAAAUUGAUGGUAUCGCGAUUUUGCAGGUGUGGCUUUCAGUUUUGCUAUGGAUGUGGCAAGAGGUGGGGGAUUACUCAUUCUCGUUGCACUACAGCGUGAGAUCCGAUGGAUGCUAUCUCGGAUCUAAGUAUAAGGCCAUUGUCAAUAUAGGUUUCUUGUUCUAGUUUUCAAGACUUAUGUAUUGAAAUGUUAAUUAGUUUUAAUCCUAUAAAACUCAUUUUAUUUUCAUGAAACUUUUGACCAUCUCUCUUUAUUAGUAUUAAUGUCUCUCUUUAUUAAUAUUAUGUCAUGUCAUAUUUACUAAGUUGAUAACUUAUCUAAUGUCUAUAGAACUCGUAAAAUCACCGCGAGACUAGCCUCAAAACAAAAAAAAAAGAAUAGUGUUUUUCAAUUUAUUAACUGAUUGUAACUGGAACUAAAUGCCAUAUCCCAACUAGUGUUAUCAUAUCAGAAAAUACUGCUGACUGAUUUGUUAUGAGAGAAAAAUACUAUUAAAUAGCUGACAUAUUUGACUGAUAAGCUCAAGCGAACAAAAUACUGCUAACUGAUUUGUUAUGAGAGAAAAAUACUAUUAAAUAGCUGACAGAUUUGACUGAUAAGCUCAAGCGAACAAGGCGAUGUAGUGAGAGAAGACUGCAAUUCCGUCAGCCGCUCGGGCUAUCAAUCGGCAACGGAUUUUAGUAAUAGCUUAGGUUUUCUCGUUGAAGUUUUUGGGCAUGGAUACUACACUACUCCCUCCUGAUUUCCCAGAUGGUGUCACUAUUAGACUCGAUUCCUCCAGCGGAUUGGGACUAUAAGGAAUGUUUUAUUCUGCUUGUAUGUGUUUGGGCUACUGUCUUACUUUUAACCCUGUUGGAUUUUGGAUGUUGGGGUUAUUGUUGGGUACGUCAUCGACAUCAAAAUCUUUCUCCUAAGUGGUGUUUUUUUUUACAUUCCAGUCCUAACUUCCUGCGGUUUGGGUUUUUCUUUCUCUGACUAGCUAGGUGCGCCGGAUUUAUGGAAUCGAUCAAUCUCUUCUAUUUAAACCUACGUACUGUUGCAAUUGAUUUUCUCCUCUUUGUAAUAUGGCAGCACUAUGUGGAAACAAAAAAAAAA
rnacentral:lncRNA from 1 species